UGGGGAAUAUUGGACAAUGGGCGCAAGCCUGAUCCAGCCAUGCCGCGUGAGUGAUGAAGGCCCUAGGGUUGUAAAGCUCUUUUGGCGGGGAAGAUAAUGACGGUACCAGCAGAAUAAGCCCCGGCUAACUUCGUGCCAGCAGCCGCGGUAAUACGAAGGGGGCUAGCGUUGCUCGGAAUCACUGGGCGUAAAGCGCACUGAGGCGGAUUCUUAAGUCAGAGGUGAAAGCCUGGAGCUCAACUCCAGAACUGCCUUUGAUACGGGGAGUCUCGAGUUCAGGAGAGGUGAGUGGAACUGCGAGUGUAGAGGUGAAAUUCGUAGAUAUUCGCAAGAACACCAGUGGCGAAGGCGGCUCACUGGCCCGAUACUGACGCUGAGGUGCGAAAGCGUGGGGAGCAAACA
rnacentral:rRNA from 1 species